UCUAUCUUUUAUCUUGAAACU
rnacentral:snRNA from 1 species